rnacentral:piRNA from 1 species
GAACUAGUGAAAAGUGGGAGCUGGAA